rnacentral:rRNA from 1 species
ACAGCAGUCGCCGCGGUAAUACAGAGGGUGCGAGCGUUAAUCGGAUUUACUGGGCGUAAAGCGUGCGUAGGCGGCUUCUUAAGUCGGAUGUGAAAUCCCUGAGCUUAACUUAGGAAUUGCAUUCGAUACUGGGAAGCUAGAGUAUGGGAGAGGAUGGUAGAAUUCCAGGUGUAGCGGUGAAAUGCGUAGAGAUCUGGAGGAAUACCGAUGGCGAAGUCAGCCAUCUGGCCUAAUACUGACGCUGAGGUACGAAAGCAUGGGGAGCAAACAGGAUUAGAUACCCGAGUAGUCCCUGUCUCUUAUAC